AUAUAUAUAUAUAUAUGCACAUAUGUAUACAUUUAUGCUCGUAUAUACCCGUUAUAUUUAAUUAAGAUAAAACAUAAUAUUGUCCUUUUUUUAUCUUAUUUUAUUUUUUUCUUUAAAGAAGAUGAUACACUAACCCACAAAUAUCCGUUAAAAAAACUUAUUACAUAAAAUAAUGAGUUUAGAAAAUGAAAAAAAAAAAUUGCUAAAAUUUUUGGAAAAUAAAAACAACACAGAAUUGGAAUACAAAAAGGCUUUACAAACUCAAGCCGCAGUUGCUAAGUCUGAGAAUAAAAAAUCUGAAUUUUACGAAAACGAAUGGUUACACAUGAAAUCGAUUGAAUAUUCUUGCAUGAAUAAUAAAAAGGAACAAUUUAGAAAAACGUUAGAACUACUUUAUAAAGACCCUAAAAUAUGUGAAAAAUUAGGAAACCUUACAGAGUCUCAAAAAUUGUGUAUUACAAAUGUGUUAAAGGACCAAAAUAAAUUAGUCAAAGAAUUAAAUACUACCUCGAAAAAAUACCAAGAAGCAGUGGAUGCAAAUUUUAAAUUAUAUCAACAAAACGAAAUGCUUAAGAUUCAAAAUGCAAGUCUUGUUAAAAAAAAUAAAGAUAUAAUAAAUGAAGAACUGGAAAAAAAAUUAACUGCAUUAAAUGAAUCGCUUAUUAAUGUUCAAGCGGAAAAUAUUGAGCUUACAGAUAAAAUUGAACAAUAUUCAAAGUUAAUAAAAAACGUAAAAAAGCUGCACAGAGAUUAAUUAUGUUGUGGAAGAGCUAAAAAAUUUUGAAAAUUGUUUGUUAAUUUAAGGAAAG
rnacentral:lncRNA from 1 species